GCGGGGAUAGCUCAGUUGGGAGAGCGUCAGACUGAAGUCGUACUUCAUCAUCCAUCCAUCUGAAGGUCGUGCGUUCGAUCCGCACUCACCGCA